GUCUAUGGCCAUGCCACCCUGGACGUGCCCAGUCCCAUCUGAUCUCGGAAGCUAAGCAGGAUCGGGCCUGGUUAGUACUUGAAUGGGAGACCACCUAGGCUCAGGGUCUCUCCUGAGGCU
rnacentral:rRNA from 1 species